UACGGAGGGUGCAAGCGUUAUCCGGAUUCACUGGGUUUAAAGGGUGCGUAGGUGGGCUGGUAAGUCAGUGGUGAAAUCUCCGGGCUCAACCCGGAAACUGCCAUUGAUACUAUCUGUCUUGAAUAUCGUGGAGGUAAGCGGAAUAUGUCAUGUAGCGGUGAAAUGCUUAGAUAUGACAUAGAACACCAAUUGCGAAGGCAGCUUACUACCCGAAUAUUGACACUGAGGCACGAAAGCGUGGGGAUCAAACAGG
rnacentral:rRNA from 1 species